AGAGGUUCAACUAAGGUGGAAGAAAUAGAAAUUUUGUCUUUUCCUAUUAUGUGCUUGCCACAAUCCAUUGUUUUCUUGCAGACAGCUAUAUAAAGAAAGCAAAUACUGCGUCUAUCACUAUACUGGGACUGAGAGACCUCCUGACCAAAAACCUUGSUCAUGGUCAUCGGACAUUUUAUUUUCUGAGGUACACUGUGAUUACAACGACUGUCCUGAGGGCUGGGACUCCGUCCACAAGCUGCUUUCCUGAACAAAUGUAUUUGGGUAUAGUCAAUCAAAGGGAAGAAGGAUGUCAAAGGACUGGCCUUACUUGCUAUAGGAGUCUGCAGAGCUACUGCAGAAUGAAUUUAUUUCAUCACAACUAUAUCAGUUAUCUGUCAUCAGCAGAAAAAGGAAAGCAUGGAAGAAAUGUUUUUGUAAAGGGCUGA
rnacentral:lncRNA from 1 species